rnacentral:rRNA from 1 species
UACAGAGGGGGCAAGCGUUGUUCGGAAUUACUGGGCGUAAAGGGCGCGUAGGCGGCCUUCUAAGUCAGACGUGAAAUCCCUCGGCUCAACCGGGGAACUGCGUCUGAGACUGGAAGGCUUGAAUCCGGGAGAGGGAUGUGGAAUUCCAGGUGUAGCGGUGAAAUGCGUAGAUAUCUGGAGGAACACCGGUGGCGAAGGCGGCAUCCUGGACCGACACUGACACUGAGGAGCGAAAGCCAGGGGAGCAAACGGG